UUCCAAAGACCCUUUCCUCUAACAAACCGAUGUGGGACUUUUGUAUAACGCCGACUUUCCUUGGGUCGGCUUCAAUAUAUGUCAAUCGGCCCAAUUAAGUAAAUUUGAACCGUCUAAACCAGAACGUAAACCGGAUUAACAUUUGAACUUGCGCUUUCUGAUUUUUGUUAAGUGGGAAAUUAUUAUAUUGUCGAUGUGGGACACAACAUGUCUCAUAUUUAUCGAAUUGCAGAAACUCAUACUUGAAGAUCAAGAAGCUUCUAGUUGUUGCUUGCUAAAGCCCAGACACAGUGAAUAUAAGAAAGUAAUUUUCUUUUGUCCCACAUCGAACCAUCUGCUAAAGCCCAGAGUGAGUUUGGUCUCCUCUUCGUCUUCUUCGUGCUUUCAAUGCCUAGUUUAGUCUACAAAGCCAUCGAUUAUUCCCCAGAAAAAGUAUUUGAUCCUUGUAUUCGGCUCUAAUUUCUUCACGAGUUCGCAGUAUCAAGUUGUUAGUCUACAGAUUCUUGUUCAGAGCGGCUGAUCCAGGAGCAGUAAAAACAAACAUAAUGCAUGAGCUUCCUUCAUAUAUACAAGUCAUUACGUUUUGUGGGAGGAGGUGAAAAGUACCAACGGAGGUGGCUGUUGAACCACCAAAAGCAGCUUGUCAGCAUUUACAAAAUUUCUUUAUACAUCCCUGUGGAUCAAUGCUUUUCUGAUUAAGUAAAUUUGUCUCGGUGUCAGCAAGCCUAGAUGAAUAUGACGACAAAUCAAAGCCACCAGUUGUGCAGCAAAGAGGGCGUUUGUUUUAAAGUAACUUCUGAAAAUCUCCACAUCGAGAAGGUAACUUUUGUUUUUAUUUUUCUCUUUAUCAGGUGGUGACUCCCUCUCCAAUACUGCAAAAUAGUCACAACAUGCAGAUGCUCUGCCAACAUUCCUCUGCUUCUCUACCUCCCUCUGGUGUCACAUUACCAAAGCUAACCAGCUCAUAUGUUUACCCGCUGGUGUAUCCAGUUCUGCAAACUAAUAUUUUGGAAAGGAAUAACAUUCUGCAUAUGAUGAAAGUACUCACCAACAAAGACUUGACAGCUUGAAGCAGUAUCUAUGUAAAUGCUUACAUAGUUCUCAACUAUGCAACGCAUAUAUGUAGAUGUGAACACACACCUGCUUAAUUAGAGUAAGGGCCAAUGCUUCACCACUACAAAACAUUUAGUUAAAGUUUUGAUUUGAUUUAUUAUAUAAUGUAUUGUAUAUUGAUUGAUGUUAGAAAUUAGUAAGAUUCCCAUUUAGUUAUGAUUAUGACCAACCUCCAUUUUCUAACAUAUUUUAUUUAGUUAUCUAGAAGACUUUGCCAUUCUUCUACUCAUUCUCUUGUUCCCUUUUUUGUAUUACUUUUCCUUCUUUUUUUCUAUUAUUGCAUGGACAUAUGACGAGAUAAUAAUUUGUAUGAUUUUGUUGAUAAAGACUUACCAAAAUCUAGCCGUUAACUUGGACUUGAAUUACAAGACUUUUUUUUAUUACUA